rnacentral:rRNA from 1 species
GAUGAACGCUGGCGGCGUGCCUAAUACAUGCAAGUCGAGCGAACUGAUAAGGAGCUUGCUCCUUUGACGUUAGCGGCGGACGGGUGAGUAACACGUGGGUAACCUACCUAUAAGACUGGAAUAACUCCGGGAAACCGGGGCUAAUGCCGGAUAACAUUUAGAACCGCAUGGUUCUAAAGUGAAAGAUGGUUUUGCUAUCACUUAUAGAUGGACCCGCGCCGUAUUAGCUAGUUGGUAAGGUAACGGCUUACCAAGGCAACGAUACGUAGCCGACCUGAGAGGGUGAUCGGCUACACUGGAACUGAGACACGGUCCAGACUCCUACGGGAGGCAGCAGUAGGGAAUCUUCCGCAAUGGGCGAAAGCCUGACGGAGCAACGCCGCGUGAGUGAUGAAGGUCUUCGGAUCGUAAAACUCUGUUAUUAGGGAAGAACAAAUGUGUAAGUAACUGUGCACGUCUUGACGGUACCUAAUCAGAAAGCCACGGCUAACUACGUG